AAAGAUUAGGGGCAAACUUAAGGGAACUUAAGGACGCAAAACUAAAGGGUCUAAGAAGACAGCCAGUUGCAUCG
rnacentral:ncRNA from 1 species